rnacentral:tRNA from 1 species
CCGCCGUUGGAGGUGUUGGCCUCGUCGUGGUUGCUGUCGACGUAGCCCAGUCGCACCGGGGACAUCGGUUCCGUGCCGAACGGGAUCAGCGGG